rnacentral:piRNA from 1 species
UAAGUACGCCAUGUGAUAGAUACAGUGCC